rnacentral:rRNA from 1 species
GGCCAGCAGCCGCGGUAAUACGGAGGGUGCAAGCGUUAUCCGGAUUCACUGGGUUUAAAGGGUGCGUAGGUGGGUUGGUAAGUCAGUGGUGAAAUCUCCAGGCUUAACUUGGAAACUGCCAUUGAUACUAUCAAUCUUGAAUACCGUGGAGGUCAGCGGAAUAUGUCAUGUAGCGGUGAAAUGCUUAGAUAUGACAUAGAACACCAAUUGCGAAGGCAGCUGGCUACGCGGAUAUUGACACUGAUGCACGAAAGCGUGGGGAUCAAACAGGAUUAGAUACCCUGGUAGUCCACGCCCUAAACGAUGGAUACUCGACAUACGCGAUAUACAGUGUGUGUCUGAGCGAAAGCAUUAAGUAUCCCACCUGGGAAGUACGAUCGCAAGAUUGAAACUCAAAGGAAUUGACGGGGGCCCGCACA